GGCCUGGUGGUCUAGUAGUAUGAUUCCUUCUUAGGGUGUCGACUGCCGUCCGCGCAGAGUAUCCGAUUGGAGGAGGUCCCGGGUUCAAUUCCCGGCCAGGCCC